GUUUGAUCAUGGCUCAGAACGAACGCUGGCGGCGUGCCUAACACAUGCAAGUCAAGGGGAAAGUUUCUUUCGGGGAACGAGUAUACUGGCGGACGGGUGAGUAACGCGUAGGUGACCUGCCCUUGGAAUCGGGAUAACACUGCUAACGCGGUGCUAAUACCGGAUGAGGCCCUGAUGCUGCAUGGCAUUUGGGUGAAAGCGGGCUUUCGGGCUCGUGUUUGAGGAUGGACCUGCGUCCCAUUAGCUUGUUGGCGGGGUAACGGCCCACCAAGGCGACGAUGGGUAGCCGACCUGAGAGGGUGAACGGCCACACUGGGACUGAGAUACGGCCCAGACUCCUACGGGAGGCAGCAGUGAGGAAUAUUGCGCAAUGGGCGAGAGCCUGACGCAGCAACGCCGCGUGUAGGAUGAAGCUUUUCGGAGUGUAAACUACUGUUUGAAGGGAAGAACGAUCUGAUUUCGAAUAGGGAUCAGAGUUGACGGUACCUUCAGAGGAAGCCCCGGCUAACUCCGUGCCAGCAGCCGCGGUAACACGGGGGGGGCGAGCGUUGUCCGGAAUCAUUGGGCGUAAAGGGCGCGCAGGCGGGAGACUCAGUCCGGGGUGAAAUAUUGCGGCUUAACCGCAGGAUUGCCCUGGAUACUGGUUUUCUUGAGUGCGGGAGAGGGAAGCGGAAUUCCUGGUGUAGCGGUGAAAUGCGUAGAUAUCACGAAGAACACCGGUGGCGAAGGCGGCUUCCUGGCCCGUAACUGACGCUGAGGCGCGAAAGCGUGGGGAGCGAACAGGAUUAGAUACCCUGGUAGUCCACGCAGUAAACGAUGGGCACUACGUGUUGGUUGUUACAGAUCAGCGCCGGAGCUAACGCAUUAAGUGCCCCGCCUG
rnacentral:rRNA from 1 species